AGGGGUGGAGUUUAGGACUAGAAGGCCUCGGGGCGGGGAAGAAGACAUCAUCAGAGUAUUUCGAAGGGAGAUCCAGGUUCGUAAGGGACCGGGCUCAAGCUGGCUCUCAGAAGGGAGGGGCCUCGAGCCCGAGGGCGGGGCCUAGAUCUCGGGGUCCACCCUCGCUGUCUCGCCCACUUGCCUUCACCCCCGUUCUUUUCGGUUAAUUUCUGCUACGGCCGUUCCCCACCCUGCCCUGGGCCCAGGGGGCCGCGGUCUGAACUCUGGUCGGCUGGAGGAGUCGGUGAGUGGGGCCCUGGGGUGGAGGCGGAGCCAGGGCGGAGCUUAAGAGAAGGGGUGGAGCCUGAGUGUUGAAACCUGUAAUACACCCGGAGUGGCACAAGAAAUUCAGGAGUAAGGCUUGAGAAUCUGACGCUACCUGGGAUAAGGGCGGGAUCCAAAUAUCGACAGAGUGAGAAGAGAGCAUCAGUGGGUUAGAGGCGAGGAUUGAGAGAUUAGUAUGACCAGAAUACCUGGUAUUUGUUAGGCAGAGGCGGGGCCAUAUCGGAUGUGGGGUGAAGGCGGGAAUGAGGCCCGAUUCCCCGACAAUCGGGGGCGGGACCAGAAAGCGGGGCGUGGCCUGGGGCUCUGGAGCCAGGCCCGUGUGCUGGGAGAGAAACUUGAACUCCUUUUAGGACUUGUAGGCUACUGGGCAUAACCAUCACUAGUGAUGUGGCCGGAGAGACUGACAAGAAGGCAGGCAAGACUAGUUUUGGAGCCUGGCUACUUGGGAUGUCGCCAAAGUGAUCUGAGGAACCAGCCAAGGGUACAGGCAUAGAACCUUAGUACAUUAAGGGGUUGGGACCUAAGUGUCCGAACAGUGGCUGUGUGGGGCCAUGGGGAAGAAAGCGUGAACGUUGAGAGCCAAGGACUAGGGCCUGAGCUGAUCCUGGAGAACAGGGGCGGGGCCCGUCCGGACCGGUAAGACCAAGUACAGCCAGCCGCGUGGGGUCCCCACAGCCCUGGCAGACUGACUGGCUGAAGGUUUUCUGACCACAGUCCCCGACCUCUGUCGGAAAUGGGGAACGUGCAGUCGGAGCCGUCCGCGGGAGGGGGCUCCCGAAAAGAGCAGGCCUCGGACCGCGCCUCCGACUCCCGCCGGACGUCCCUGGUGGAGCCCGAGGUGAUCCUUUCCUCCCCGGCCAUGCGCCUGGCUCGAGGGCUGGGUGUCUGGUUCCCUAGCACCUCCGCGCCACCGGGACUCCUGGUACCUCCGGAGCCCCAGACCUCACCCUCGCCCCUGCCCCUGACCUUAGAACUGCCCUCGCCAGUGACGCCUCCUCCAGAGGAGGCGGCUGCGGCUGCGGUCUCCACACCACCCCCGCCCCCCAUGGGGACCCUGUUGCCCGCGCCGUCUAAGUGGCGAAAACCCACCGGCACUCCGGUGCCCCGGAUCCGAGACCUGCUAGAGGCGAGCCAUCGCGGCCAGGGUGACCCUCCAAGCCUCCGCCCGCUGCCGCCACCGCCCCAGCAACUAACCGAAAAGGACCCGGUCCCGAGGGUCCCACCCCCACCUCAGCCGCCUUUGGAGCCGCGGAAGCCGCCACCACCGCCACCUACCGACUGGCAGCUCUUGAACCGCAGAAUCACUCCUGCUUUGGCCACACCCGCCGCAACCCCCACGGAAAGCCACGUUGGGCACUGCAGCGAGGGCCAGACCGCUGGCGGGGCUCGAGGCGGGGCACCUCCCCAAGCAGGCGAAGGCGAAAUGGCCGGGCCUGCGACUUCCGAGUCCGGCCUGAGCCUGCUAUGUAAAGUCACCUUCAAGUCGGGGCCUCCCUUUCCCCCUGCGGCAGCGUCAGGUUCCUUAGCAGCCAAAGCCCCGCUAGGGAGCGGCGGAGGCGGAGGCGGAGGCCUCUUCGCUGCCUCCGGUGCCAUCUCUUAUGCCGAGGUCCUGAACCAAGGGCCUCUGGCUCCUGGAGCCGCUCAACCCUUGGCAGAGGUCCCUCGGGGGGCACAGGAAACCGAGGGCGGUGAUGGAGACGGCGAAGGGUGUUCUAGUACCCCUUCGGCGUCCGCGUCCCACGGCCGAGCCCUACCGCCGCCACCCUACACCACCUUCCCAGAUUCAAAGCCUAAAUUCGACUGGGUGAGCCCUACCGAUGGCCCUGAACGCCACUUUCGCUUCAACGGGGCUGCUGGAGGCGUUGGGGCGACCCGACGGCGCGCAGCAGCGCUCUCGGGGCCCUGGGGCUCCCCUCCGUCACCACCAGGGCAAAUGCACUCAGCUCCCGGGCCCCGGAGGCCCGCACCUGCCUUGCUGGCGCCGCCUAUGUUCAUCUUCCCGGCGCCCACCAAUGGCGAGCCCGUGCGCCCCGGGCCUCCAGGCCUGCAGGAUUUACCCCCGCCGCCGCCGCCGCCCGCACCACCACCCACACCACCGCCCGCGCCGCCGCCCACACCGCAGCCGCCCGCGCUCCAGCCAGCGCCGCUGCCGGUGGCGCUUCCGCCCACCCCAGGCCUCAGCCACGUGGAGCCAGCCCUGGCUCCCGCCCCAGCCCCUGCUCUGCCCGCCGCCUUGGCCGCCGACCAGGCCCCAGACCCGGCUCCAACACCAGCCACUGCCGAGCCGUCGCUGCCUGCGCCCCCGCCCGCGCCCCCGCCCGCGCCCGCGCCCAUCAAGGUCCGCACACGUAGAAACAAGGGUUCUCGCACGGCCCGGGGCGCGACCCGCGAAGAUGGCGUGCCAGGAGACGGUCCUCGCGAACGAACUACAGCUACCAUGACUGACAGCGGCGGUAGAGGGAGUGGUGUCAACGGGGCCCCUCUGGCUGGGGCAGCUAACACCAGCGCUGCGCGCCACUGGCCGCCCUUCCAGGUGCUUAACUCUUGUCCCUGCAAGUGUUACUGCCGCCACCAGCCAGGCCAUCGCCGCCUGCCACGCAACGUUUCUGCCUGAGACAUCAGGGAGGGAAGCUGGCCCCAGCUGGCCUGCCCUAUACACUGCCUUGACCCUGUCCCUGAGGACACCAAGAGGGAUCAUGUCCCAAGCUCUCCAGGGAUCAGAGGGAAGGAGAUAAUUAUCUUCCUGGAACCCAAUGGGGGCUGAGAACACCUACCAACCACCUGAGUGAGCCGCCCUGGGUCACCACCAUCA